GACGAACGCUGGCGGCGUGCUUAACACAUGCAAGUCGAACGGUGAAGCGCCUUCCUUUUUGGUGGGUGUGGAUGAGUGGCGAACGGGUGAGUAACACGUGAGUAACCUGCCCCCUUCUUCUGGAUAACCGCAUGAAAGUGUGGCUAAUACGGGAUAUUCUGGGUCUGUCGCAUGAUGGGUCUGGGAAAGAUAUUGUUUCGGUGGGGGACGGGCUCGCGGCCUAUCAGCUUGUUGGUGGGGUGAUGGCCUACCAAGGCGGUGACGGGUAGCCGGCCUGAGAGGGUGGACGGUCACACUGGGACUGAGACACGGCCCAGACUCCUACGGGAGGCAGCAGUGGGGAAUAUUGCACAAUGGGCGCAAGCCUGAUGCAGCGACGCCGCGUGAGGGAUGGAGGCCUUCGGGUUGUGAACCUCUUUCGCCAGUGAAGCAGGCCUGCCUCGUUUGUGGGUGGGUUGACGGUAGCUGGAUAAGAAGCGCCGGCUAACUACGUG
rnacentral:rRNA from 1 species